rnacentral:rRNA from 1 species
UGGGGAAUAUUGGACAAUGGGCGGAAGCCUGAUCCAGCAACGCCGCGUGAGGGAUGACGGCCUUCGGGUUGUAAACCUCUUUCAGUACCGACGAAGCGAAAGUGACGGUAGGUACAGAAGAAGGACCGGCCAACUACGUGCCAGCAGCCGCGGUAAUACGUAGGGUCCGAGCGUUGUCCGGAAUUAUUGGGCGUAAAGGGCUCGUAGGCGGUUUGUCGCGUCGGGAGUGAAAACAGCGGGCUUAACUCGUUGCUUGCUUUCGAUACGGGCAGACUAGAGGUAUGCAGGGGAGAAUGGAAUUCCUGGUGUAGCGGUGAAAUGCGCAGAUAUCAGGAGGAACACCGGUGGCGAAGGCGGUUCUCUGGGCAUUACCUGACGCUGAGGAGCGAAAGUGUGGGGAGCGAACAGGAUUAGAUACCCUGGUAGUCCACACCGUAAACGUUGGGCGNUAGGUGUGGGGUCCCUUCCACGGAUUCCGUGCCGU